rnacentral:lncRNA from 10 species
AUUGAGCAGAGCAUAAAGGGAAUGUCUGGAGUGCUUUACCUUGUUUGUGAACGGAAAAAAAAAUGGAAUUCCUUUCCAAGAUGAACGAAUAGGAACAGCUCUGGUCUGAAGCUCCCAGCGUGAUCAACACAGCAGAAGGGUGAUUUCUGCAUUUCCAACUGAGAUACCUGGUUCAUCUCAUUGGGACUGGUUGGACAGUGGGUGCAGCCCACAGAGGGUGAACCAAAACAGAGUGGGGUGUUGCCACACCCAGGAAGUGCAAGGGGUUGGGGGAUUUCCCUUUCCCAGCUAAGGAAAGCUGUGACAGACUGUACCUGGAAAAUCAGUACACUUCUGCCCAAAUACUGCACUUUUCCCAUCGUCUUAGCAACUGGCAGACUAGGAGUUUCUCUCCCAUGCCUGGCUCGGCGGGUCUGAUGCUCACAGAGCCUUGCCCAGUGCUAGCACAGAAGUCUGAGAUUGACCUGCAAGGCUGCAGUCUAGCUGGGGGAGGGGCAUCUGCCAUUGCUGAGGCUUGGGUAGGUAAACAAAGUAGCCAGGAAGCUCGAACUGGGCAGAGCCCACCACACCUCAGCAAGGACUACUGCCUCUAUAGACUCCACCUCUGUGGACAGGGCAUAGCUUAAAAGACAGCAGACAACUUCUACAGACUUAAAUGUCCCUGUCUGACAGCUCAGAUGAGCAGUGGUUUUUCCAGCAUAGCAUUUGAGCUCUGAGAACAGACAGACUGCUUCCUCAAGUGGAUCCCUGACCCCUGUGUAGCCUAACUGGGAGAUGCCUCCCAGUAGGAGCCGACAGACACCUCAUACAGGUGGGUACUCCUCUGGGAUGAACCUUCCAGAGGAAAGAUCAGGCAGAAAUAUUUGCUGUUCUGCAGUAUUUGCUGUUCUGUAGCCUCUGCUGGUGAUAGCCAGGCAAACAGGUUCUGGAGUGUACCUCCAGCAAACUCCAACAGACCUGCAGCUGAGGGACCUGUUAGAAGGAAAACUAACAAACAGAAAGGAAUAGCACCAACAUCAACACAAAAGACAUCCACAUCAAAACCUCAUCUGUAGGUCAUCAACAUCAAAGACCAAAGGUAGAUAAAACCACAAAGAUGGGGAGAAACCAGAGCAAAAAAUCUGAAAAUUCUAAAAACCAGAGCACCUCUUCUCCUCCAAAGGAUCAUAGCUCCUUGCCAACAACAGAACAAAGCUGGAUGGAGAAUGACUUUCACGAGUUGACAGAAGUAGGCUUCAGAAGGUCAGUAAUAACAAACUUCUCCGAGCUAAAGGAGCAUGUUCUAACCCAUCACAAGGAAGCUAAAAACCUUGAAAAAAGGUUAGAUGAAUGGUUAACUAGAAUAAACAGUGCAGAGAAGACCUUAAGUGACCUGAUGGAGCUGAAAACCAUGGCACGAGAACUUCAUGACACAUGCAAAAGCUUCAAUAGCUGAUUCAAUCAAAUAGAAGAAAGGAUAUCAGUGAUUGAAGAUUAAAUUAAUGAAAUAAAGUGAGAAGACAAGAUUAGAGAAAAAAGAGAAAAAGUAAUGAACAAAGCCUCCAAGAAAUAUGGGACUAUGUGAAAAGACCAAAUAUAUGUUUGACUGGUGUACCUGAAAGUGAUGGGGAGAAUGGAACCAAGUUGGAAAACACUCUUCAGGGUAUUAUCCAGAAAAACUUCCCCAACCUAGCAAGGCAGGCCAACAUUCAAAUUCAGGAAAUACAGAGAACACCAUAAAGACACUCCUCGAGAACAGCAACUCCAAGACACAUAAUUGUCAGAUUCACCAAGGUUGAAAAGAAGGAAAAAAUGUUAAGGGCAGCCAGAGAGAAAGGUUGGGUUACCCACAAAGGGAAGUCCAUCAGACUAACAGCAGAUCUCUUGGCAGAAAGAGAAGUGGCAGAAGAGAGUGGGAACCAAUAUUCAACAUUCUUAAAGAAAAGAAUUUUCAGCCCAGAAUUUUAUAUCCAGCCAAAUUAAGCUUUAUAAGUGCAGGAGAAAUAAAACCCUUUACAAACAAGCAAUUGCAGAGAGAUUUUGUCACCACCAGGCCUGCCUUACAAGACCUCCUGAAGGAAGCACUAAACACGGAAAGGAACAACCAGUACCAGCCACUGCAAAAACAUCCCAAAUUGUAAAGACCAUCA